CAGCAGCCGCGGUAAUACAGAGGGUGCAAGCGUUAAUCGGAUUUACUGGGCGUAAAGGGCGCGUAGGUGGUUAUGUAAGUGAGAUGUGAAAUCCCCGGGCUCAACCUGGGAACUGCAUCUUAUACUGCGUAGCUGGAGUGCAGUAGAGGGUGGUGGAAUUUCCGGUGUAGCGGUGAAAUGCGUAGAUAUCGGAAGGAACACCAGUGGCGAAGGCGGCUGCCUGGACUGACACUGACACUGAGGCGCGAAAGCGGGGGGAGCAAACAGGAUUAGAUACCCGUGUAGUCCCUGUCUCUUAUAA
rnacentral:rRNA from 1 species